GGGGUCGUAUUCGUUUAUAAUCAAUAAGUUAGGUGAGUGCAGUCCCCAGCAUGGGGUGCUAGGGGUCGAGUGUUCGAAUCACUCCGUCCCGACCA
rnacentral:tRNA from 1 species